AAAGCGGGUCGGAUGAUCGCUGAAAGGUUUUCUUUUCAGAGGAAAGUCCGGGCACCAAAGGGCGGGAUGCUGGUUAACGGCCAGUUUCGGUGACGGAAGGAAAGUGCCGCAGAAAAUAUACCGCCAUCUGGCGCAGGUCUAUGACUGGCAAAAGAUGGUAAGGGUGAAAUGGUGAGGUAAGAGCUCACCGCGCUCCUGGUGACAGGGACGGCAGGGUAAACCCCAUCCGGUGCAAUACCAAAUAGGGAAGGAUUCUUUUUUUUCGCUUUGCGGAAAGGAGGAACCGGAGUGGUCCGCUCCGGCAUACUUUCGGGUAGGUAGCUAGAGGCUGUUGGUAACAGCAGUCCCAGAUAGAUGAUCAUCCCGGCUUUGCCGUUGGCAGAGCUGUGACAAAACCCGGCUUAUAGACCCGCUUUCUUU
rnacentral:RNase_P_RNA from 1 species